CUCCCUGUCCUGGCGGCCAGGCGUCGGUCUACGAAGCCGACUGGCGAGGUUCGACUCCUCGCAGGGAGACCA
rnacentral:tRNA from 2 species